rnacentral:tRNA from 1 species
GCUGGGGUGGCGAAAUUGGUAGACGUACCAGACUUAGGAUCUGGCGCCGAAAGGCAUGGGAGUUCGAGUCUCCCCCCCAGCACAA